rnacentral:rRNA from 1 species
GUAGGUGGCAAGCGUUGUCCGGAAUUAUUGGGCGUAAAGCGCGCGCAGGUGGUUCUUUAAGUCUGAUGUGAAAGACCCCCGGGCUCAACCCGGGGAGGGUCAUUGGAAACUGGGGAACUUGAGUGCAGGAGAGGAAAGUGGAAUUCCACGUGUAGCGGUGAAAUGCGUAGAUAUGUGGAGGAACACCAGUGGCGAAGGCGACUUUCUGGCCUGUAACUGACACUGAGGCGCGAAAGCGUGGGGAGCAAACAGGAUUAGAUACCCUGGUAGUCCACGCCGUAAACGAUGAGUGCUAAGUGUUGGGGGGUUUCCGCCCCUCAGUGCUGCAGCUAACGCAUUAAGCACUCCGCCUGGGGAGUACGGCCGCAAAGACUG